rnacentral:rRNA from 1 species
UACGUAGGGAGCAAGCGUUGUUCGGAUUUACUGGGCGUAAAGGGCGCGUAGGCGGCAAUUCAAGUCAUCUGUGAAAUCUCCGGGCUUAACUCGGAACGGUCAGAUGAUACUGCUUUGCUAGAGUGCAGAAGGGGCAAUCGGAAUUCUCGGUGUAGCGGUGAAAUGCGUAGAUAUCGAGAGGAACACCAGAGGUGAAGACGGGUUGCUGGGCUUACACUGACGCUGAGGCGCGAAAGCCAGGGGAGCAAACGGG